GGAAAAGAAACCAACCGGGAUUCCCUGAGUAAGGGCGACUGAAACGGGACCAGCCCAGCGCAUAACCUCGCGGUCCUCAGCCGGCCGUCGAGGGGUGUUGCGUUCCGGUGGAUCCGUCCCGCUCGAGCCGCUUACCGCCUAAGUCAUUGCUUGAAAGCAGCCCCAAGGAGGGUGAUAGGCCCGUGUGGCGGCGCCUCUAAAAAGGGUGAAGGCGGCCCGGGCGGAGGGAUCUUCACCGUAGAGUCGGGUUGCUUAGUACUGCAGCCCUAAGCAGGUGGUAAACUCCAUCUAAGGCUAAAUACAACCACGAGUCCGAUAGAGAACAAGUACCGUGAGGGAAAGCUGAAAAGGACUUUGAAGAGAGAGUUCAAGAGGA
rnacentral:rRNA from 2 species